GACGAACGCUGGCGGCGUGCUUAACACAUGCAAGUCGAGCGGUAAGGCCCUUUCGGGGGUACACGAGCGGCGAACGGGUGAGUAACACGUGGGUGACCUGCCCUCAGCUCUGGGAUAAGCCUGGGAAACCGGGUCUAAUACCGGAUAUGACUCCAUGACGCAUGUUGUGGGGUGGAAAGCCUUGUGCGGCUGAGGAUGGGCCCGCGGCCUAUCAGCUUGUUGGUGGGGUGAUGGCCUACCAAGGCGACGACGGGUAGCCGGCCUGAGAGGGCGACCGGCCACACUGGGACUGAGACACGGCCCAGACUCCUACGGGAGGCAGCAGUGGGGAAUAUUGGACAAUGGGCGCAAGCCUGAUCCAGCAAUGCCGCGUGUGUGAAGAAGGCCUGC
rnacentral:rRNA from 1 species